rnacentral:rRNA from 1 species
CCUACGGGAGGCAGCAGUGGGGAAUAUUGCACAAUGGGGGAAACCCUGAUGCAGCGACGCCGCGUGAGUGAAGAAGUAUCUCGGUACGUAAAGCUCUAUCAGCAGGGAAGAAAAUGACGGUACCUGACUAAGAAGCCCCGGCUAACUACGUGCAAGCAGCCGCGGUAAUACGUAGGGGGCAAGCGUUAUCCGGAUUUACUGGGUGUAAAGGGAUCGUAGGCGGCAGUACAAGUCUGGAGUGAAAUCCCGGGGCUUAACCCCGGAACUGCUUUGGAAACUGUGCGGCUGGAGUGCAGGAGGGGUAAGCGGAAUGCGUAGUGUAGCGGUGAAAUGCUUAGAUAUUAGGAAGAACACCGGUGGCGAAGGCGGCUUACUGGACUGUAACUGACGUUGAGGCUCGAAAGCGUGGGGAGCAAACAGGAUUAGAUACCCCAGUAGUC